ensembl:snoRNA
UGGAUCAAUGAUGGCUUUUCGGUGCGUGUAUGAGUCAUGUAUGAUGAAUACGUGUUUGGAACUCUGAGGUCCAA